rnacentral:rRNA from 1 species
GACGAACGCUGGCGGCGUGCUUAACACAUGCAAGUCGAACGGAAAGGCCCUGCUUGCAGGGUACUCGAGUGGCGAACGGGUGAGUAACACGUGGGUGAUCUGCCCUGCACUUCGGGAUAAGCCUGGGAAACUGGGUCUAAUACCGGAUAGGAGACAUUUUUAGUGUGAUGGUUGGAAAGUUUUUUCGGUGUAGGAUGAGCUCGCGGCCUAUCAGCUUGUUGGUGGGGUAAUGGCCUACCAAGGCGGCGACGGGUGGCCGGCCUGUGAGGGUGGACGGCCACCUUGGGACUUAGAGACGGCCCCGACUCCUACUGGUGGCAGCAGUGGGGAAUCUUGCCCAAUGGGCGCCAGCCUGAUGCAGCGACGCCGCGUGGGGGAUGACGGCCUUCGGGUUGUAAACUCCUUUCGCUAGGGACGAAGCUUUUUGUGACGGUACCUAGAUAAGAAGCCCCGGCUAACUACGUG